UGGUUUUCUAUCCAAGACUUGCAACUAUCUCAUUCUUUUCAGGCGGCAACUCGGAGCUGUGAGGACAUGUAUUCGAUUAACUGCUGCUCGCUUUACCAGCUUUCUUCGACGGACAGUGCGGUAAGAGGCAGAAGAAAACCAAGAACAAACAUAUCGCCUCUUCUUUUUAUUAUCCAUUGCAGUUGUUAUACGAACAAGUGGCUGUCGGUUGAAUUUUACACACAUCCGCGAUCACUUGUUGUAUGAAGGCAAACGCGUGGAACUUUCGUCUGGUUUUAAAUUUUAAAAUGAAGAAAGAAACGAAUGGAAUUGCAUACAGGACACAGUCAAGAAAUUUGGGUACAUUACAUAGAAAAUUAGUUGGAUUUAUUCGUCCGUACUUAUAUUUAUUGUAUAACAUUGAGAGAGACGAAGAUUUGCAGUGAUCAAGCUCAGCAUCGUCAGAAAGGAGGAAGACAUCACAAAUAUGGCGCUAUGACCUUCAUUUGUCAUUGACUUCUUCCGUCGUAAGAUUUCUAAUUUUAAUCACUGCUUUAUUAUCCAUAAAUAGUAUAUACUUAAUUAUAUAGCAUUUUGCUAAUUAAUUUUUUUAGAGGCUUUUUAAAAGUUUUUAGCGUUUCUCUAAUUUUUGCAAUUUUUCGAUAGAGAAAAAAUGUAAUUUUUCGUACAAAAAAUAUACAUUUUUUUAUCGAUUUCAGAGAUAUAUAAUUAUAUAUAAAAAAAUUAAAUCAGUAAGCCAUACAUUUCGUAUAUAUCAUUACUAUAUUAUUUAAAGCGAAAAAGGUCCAAAAUUAGUUCUAAAUCUAUUAAUGAAUUCCUUAUCCUGCUGGUGGGGAAGGCAUGAACAUCACAGCAUCACAUUUUACAUGCGUUAUUAGUAAAUGUUUGGUUAUUGAUAGUUCUCAUGAAAUUAUAUAACAAUACAGUAUUUUCUCUGAUUGUAAAUAGACGUUUUAAUUUAAGAAUUGCGCAUGUGAGUGUGUGUAAUAUGUACAUAUAAGCGUAUGUUCAUUUUGUACCUUUAAAUGCAUAUUUCUGUAUAUCGGUGUGUAUAUAUAUGUGUACGUAUGUUUAUUUGGUUAAAUAUGUGUGUUUAUAUCUAAUUGGUAUUAACUCGUUAAUUAUUGUAUUAGUCUACUGUUAUAUAUGAAUGUGUUGGUAAUUAGGUAUAUAUAAGUAUCUGUUUGUAAUAUUUCAAUGAAUGGUCGUAGUUUUGAAAUCGCGAUCGUAGAAUCGGGCGUUCGAUUCCUGAGCAAAGCGUUGUCCUUGAUCAAAACUCUUUAUUUCUUGUGGAUCCUGUCUUGGUCACUU